rnacentral:rRNA from 1 species
GACAGAGGGUGCAAACGUUGCUCGGAAUCACUGGGCGUAAAGGGCGUGUAGGCGGGAAGAUAAGUCGGGCGUGAAAUCCCUAGGCUCAACCUAGGAACUGCACUCGAAACUGUUUUUCUUGAGUACCGGAGAGGAAAGCGGAAUUCCUGGUGUAGAGGUGAAAUUCGUAGAUAUCAGGAGGAACACCAGUGGCGAAGGCGGCUUUCUGGACGGUAACUGACGCUGAGACGCGAAAGCGUGGGGAGCAAACAGG